CGCUGGCGGCAUGCCUUACACAUGCAAGUCGAGGGGUAGAAGGAGCUUGCUCCUUUGAGACCGGCGCACGGGUGCGUAACGCGUAUGCAAUCUACCUUUUGCAGAGGGAUAGCCCAGAGAAAUUUGGAUUAAUACCUCAUAGUAUAGUACUUUGGCAUCAAGGAACUAUUAAAGUCACAACGGCAAAAGAUGAGCAUGCGUCCCAUUAGCUAGUUGGUAAGGUAACGGCUUACCAAGGCUACGAUGGGUAGGGGUUCUGAGAGGGAGAUCCCCCACACUGGUACUGAGACACGGACCAGACUCCUACGGGAGGCAGCAGUGAGGAAUAUUGGACAAUGGGCGCAAGCCUGAUCCAGCAAUGCCGCGUGCAGGAUGAAGGCCUUCGGGUUGUAAACUGCUUUUGUACGGAACGAAACGGUGAGCUCUAAUACAGUUUGCUAAUGACGGUACCGUAAGAAUAAGCACCGGCUAACUACGUG
rnacentral:rRNA from 1 species